UACGGGGGGGGCAAGCGUUGUUCGGAAUUACUGGGCGUAAAGGGCUCGUAGGCGGCCAACUAAGUCGGACGUGAAAUCCCUCGGCUCAACCGGGGAACUGCGUCUGAUACUGGCGGGCUUGAGUCCGGGAGAGGGAUGUGGAAUUCCAGGUGUAGCGGUGAAAUGUGUAGAGAUCGGGAGGAACACCGGUGGCGAAGGCGGGUCUCUGGGCAUCUCCUGACGCUGAGGCGCGAAAGCGUGGGGAGCAAACGGG
rnacentral:rRNA from 1 species